rnacentral:rRNA from 1 species
UACGGGGGGGGCAAGCGUUGUUCGGAAUUACUGGGCGUAAAGGGCUCGUAGGCGGCCAACUAAGUCAGACGUGAAAUCCCUCGGCUUAACCGGGGAACUGCGUCUGAUACUGGAUGGCUUGAGUUUGGGAGAGGGAUGCGGAAUUCCAGGUGUAGCGGUGAAAUGCGUAGAUAUCUGGAGGAACACCGGUGGCGAAGGCGGGUCUCUGGAAAGUUCCUGACGCUGAGACGCGAAAGCGUGGGGAGCGAACGAG